UACGUAGGGGGGCAAGCGUUGUCCGGAAUCAUUGGGCGUAAAGAGCGUGUAGGCGGCCAGAUAAGUCCGCUGUGAAAUCUCGAGGCUCAACUUCGAGCUGUCGGUGGAAACUGUCUGGCUAGAGUCCGGAAGAGGAGAAUGGAAUUCCUGGUGUAGCGGUGAAAUGCGCAGAUAUCAGGAAGAACACCAAUGGCGAAGGCAGCUCUCUGGGACGGUACUGACGCUGAGACGCGAAAGCGUGGGGAGCGAACAGG
rnacentral:rRNA from 1 species